rnacentral:tRNA from 1 species
UCCCUGGUGGCUCAGAAGGUAAAGAAUCUGCCUGCAAUGCAGAAGACCCAAGGUUGAUCCCUUGGUUGGGAA